rnacentral:tRNA from 1 species
AUUCAGGUAGUUUAAAAAAAAUAUCAGCUUGUGGCGCUAAAGAUGUAAUUUGUUACCCUGAGUA